AUUGAACGCUGGCGGAAUGCUUUACACAUGCAAGUCGAACGAUGAACCUUAGGCUUGCUCCGCUGACGAGUGGCGAACGGGUGAGUAAUGUAUCGGAACGUACCUUUCAGUGGGGGAUAACGUAGCGAAAGUUACGCUAAUACCGCAUAUUCUGUGAGCAGGAAAGCAGGGGAUCGCAAGACCUUGCGCUGAUUGAGCGGCCGAUAUCAGAUUAGCUAGUUGGUGAGGUAAAGGCUCACCAAGGCGACGAUCUGUAGCGGGUCUGAGAGGAUGAUCCGCCACACUGGAACUGAGACACGGUCCAGACUCCUACGGGAGGCAGCAGUGGGGAAUUUUGGACAAUGGACGCAAGUCUGAUCCAGCCAUUCCGCGUGCAGGAUGAAGGCCCUCGGGUUGUAAACUGCUUUUGUACGGAACGAAAAGGUCUCUAUUAAUACUAGGGGCUCAUGACGGUACCGUAAGAAUAAGCACCGGCUAACUACGUG
rnacentral:rRNA from 1 species